ACUCAAAUGAAUUGACGGGGGCCCGCACAAGCAGCGGAGCGUGUGGUUCAAUUCGAUGCUACACGAAGAACCUUACCUGGGUUUGACAUAUACGUGGUAGAGAACGGAAACGGGAUCGACCCUUCGGGGAGCGUAUACAGGUGCUGCAUGGCUGUCGUCAGCUCGUGUCGUGAGAUGUCCGGUUAAGUCCGGUAACGAGCGCAACCCCUGCUGUAUGUUACAUGUGUCAUACGGGACUGCCGGUAUCAAGCCGGAGGAAGGUGGGGAUGACGUCAAGUCAGCAUGGCCUUUAUAUCCAGGGCUACACACACGCUACAAUGGCCGGUACAACGGGUGGCAAGACCGCGAGGUGGAGCCAAUCCUCAAAAUCGGCCUCAGUUCAGAUUGCAGGCUGCAACCCGCCUGCAUGAAGUCGGAGUUGCUAGUAAACGCGCGUCAGAAUUAGUGCGUUGAAUACGUUCCCGGGCCUUGUACACACCGCCCGU
rnacentral:rRNA from 1 species